GCCACCCUAGCUCAGCUGGUAGAGCAAUCGCCUUGUAAGCGAUGGGUCAUCGGUUCGAAUCCGAUGGGUGGCUCCA
rnacentral:tRNA from 1 species